GUCACAAUUGAAAACAUUCUAUUGUCUCGAAAGUUUCACAGAAGAACGAUGGCAUGUCUUCCUGAAAGGUUUUUGUAUGGGGAAAUCAAAGUGCAAUCCUUGGGGAUCUCUAAGUAGAAGAUGGCCUGGAAAGGUAUGUCAUUAUGAGCAUUUUUCAGGAAGGGCGCGACAAAAAAGACGAAAGAGAAAAAGACGAAAGAGAAAAAGACGAAAGAAAAAAAGACGAAAGAGAAAGAAUAAGAGGAGGAGAAAUUAUGCGAAGAGAAGACGGCGAAGAUGAAUGAGAAAAAGGACGAAGACAGCAACGAAAAUAAUGAAGUAGAAAAACACAUGAAAUGGAAAGGAAAUCUGGUUCUGUUCAAAAACUCAUGUAUUCGUUUCGUAUAAAAAUGCUCAACACUUUCGUGAUUAAAAAGUUAUUAAGCUUGU